AGUGAACGCUGGCGGUAGGCCUAACACAUGCAAGUCGAACGGCAGCACAGUAAGAGCUUGCUCUUACGGGUGGCGAGUGGCGGACGGGUGAGGAAUACAUCGGAAUCUACUUUUUCGUGGGGGAUAACGUAGGGAAACUUACGCUAAUACCGCAUACGACCUACGGGUGAAAGCAGGGGAUCUUCGGACCUUGCGCGAUUGAAUGAGCCGAUGUCGGAUUAGCUAGUUGGCGGGGUAAAGGCCCACCAAGGCGACGAUCCGUAGCUGGUCUGAGAGGAUGAUCAGCCACACUGGAACUGAGACACGGUCCAGACUCCUACGGGAGGCAGCAGUGGGGAAUAUUGGACAAUGGGCGCAAGCCUGAUCCAGUCAUACCGCGUGGGUGAAGAAGGCCUUCGGGUUGUAAAGCCCUUUUGUUGGGAAAGAAAAGCAGCAGGUUAAUACCCCGCUGUUCUGACGGUACCCAAAGAAUAAGCACCGGCUAACUUCGU
rnacentral:rRNA from 1 species